GGGGUGGUGGCGCAGUUGGCUAGCGUAGGUCUCAUAGCUUCUGAGUGAUCCUGAGGUCGAGAGUUCGAGCCUCUCUCACCCCA
rnacentral:tRNA from 1 species